AGGAGCAUGCAAUAAUAUCUUUUCAAGUGCUUUGGUGUUCCCUCGGAGUAUCCGGGGCAUAUCUGAGAAAUCAGGUAUAAAACCGAAGAGCAUCACUUGUUGAGACGCUGCUUCU
rnacentral:ncRNA from 1 species